AUGAAUCAGGUUGGUGGUGCUGGCGCCGGGAUGCCGCCGCGGCAAAAUCAGAUGCAGGAUGUGUUGGACCGCUCCGCAGGGGUCGAUCCCAAGUUCAUGGUGCUGCGCAUCAAUACUCGACAGAAGAUAUUCGAGUACAUAGAAAGGAAGCAACCGUCGGCUAUCUGGCAGUGGCGGCUGCCGGACCUUGCGAAGCGGCUCGAGGAAAUCUUGUUUAGAGAAUACCCAAACAAGAGGGAGUACUACAAUAUGACGAAGGGGCCGAUUGAGCCCCACUUGCAGUUUGCCAUGAAGCUCUCGAGUGUUCGGAAUCGGCAACGACAACAGAACCGACAAUUGUCAAGGCAGAUAACAUGUUCCCCUUGCUAUGGGAUAAUGAUCGUGACACCUGGUGUCACGCAAGGCGCAAGUGAAAAUUCUAGAAUGUCUUUCGUGACAGGCAACACUGGCCCUUUGUCGUCGGGUGCAAACAUGGUUCCGCUGAACGCCAACAUGGGUACCUUGCUGCCAGGGGAAGCUCCCAAUGAGCAUGUGAACACACUGCUAUCUCUGGGGAUGAACCCUACACACCAUGACCGCUCGGGAGCAUGCAACAACCACCGUGUAAUAGACAUGGUGGAAGCACCUGAAACCAACAGACUCUUGGAAACCCAUGCACCCGUGAAGGAGGUCGCAAAGAAACCAAAGUUCAGCUGCCCAGUCUGCCGGAACGAGCUGACCGAUGUGUCAUCGACCAUCUGCGGCCACAUCUUCUGCCAGAAGUGCAUCGAGGCCUCCAUCCAGGCUCAGAAGAAGUGCCCUACCUGCCGUAGGACGCUGACCAUGAAGGAUUUCCACCGUGUCCACCUCCCGACGAUGGACUGA
rnacentral:rRNA from 1 species